rnacentral:pre_miRNA from 1 species
UUUGACUUCGUCUUAUUUAAAAUUUUUUUGUGAUUAAUAUUUUUUUCCAGAUGAUAAAACACAAAUAGUACUUUAUGCGUGACUAAUUUUUUAAGUUUUUAUAAAAAAUUUUCAAAUAAGACGAAUGGUGAAACGUCGAACACAGAAAUUGAC